UACGUAGGGGGCAAGCGUUGUCCGGAAUCAUUGGGCGUAAAGAGCGCGUAGGCGGCCCGGUAAGUCCGCUGUGAAAGUCAAGGGCUCAACCCUUGAAUGCCGGUGGAUACUGCAGGGCUAGAGUCCGGAAGAGGCGAGUGGAAUUCCUGGUGUAGCGGUGAAAUGCGCAGAUAUCAGGAGGAACACCGAUGGCGAAGGCAGCUCGCUGGACGGUGACUGACGCUGAGGCGCGAAAGCGUGGGGAGCAAACAGG
rnacentral:rRNA from 1 species